AACGAACGCUGGCGGCAUGCCUAACACAUGCAAGUCGAACGAGACCUUCGGGUCUAGUGGCGCACGGGUGCGUAACGCGUGGGAACCUGCCCUUAGGUUCGGAAUAACUCCCCGAAAGGGGUGCUAAUACCGGAUAAUGUCUUCGGACCAAAGAUUUAUCGCCUUUGGAUGGGCCCGCGUUGGAUUAGCUAGUUGGUAGGGUAAAAGCCUACCAAGGCGACGAUCCAUAGCUGGUCUGAGAGGAUGAUCAGCCACACUGGGACUGAGACACGGCCCAGACUCCUAGGGGAGGAGGAAGGGGGGAAGUGUGAAAAAGGGGGGAAGGCCGGACCGAGAAAUCCCGCGUGAGUGAUGAGGGCCUUGGGGUUGUAAAGUUCUUUUACCCGGGAGGAUAAUGACAGUACGGGAAGAAAAAGCCCCGGCUAACCCCGUG
rnacentral:rRNA from 1 species